rnacentral:rRNA from 1 species
CCUACGGGGCGCAGCAGUGGGGAAUAUUGCGCAAUGGGCGAAAGCCUGACACAGCGACGCCGCGUGAGGGAUGAAGGUCUUCGGAUCGUAAACCUCUGUCAGCAGGGAAGAACGGUCACUGUGCUAAUCAGCAGUGAAUUGACGGUACCUGCAAAGGAAGCACCGGCUAACUCCGUGCCAGCAGCCGCGGUAAUACGGAGGGUGCGAGCGUUAUCCGGAUUUACUGGGUGUAAAGGGAGCGCAGGCGGCGCGUUAAGCCUGGUGUGAAAGCCCGCGGCCCAACCGCGGGACUGCAUUGGGAACUG